rnacentral:rRNA from 1 species
UACGUAGGGUGCGAGCGUUGUCCGGAAUUACUGGGCGUAAAGAGCUCGUAGGUGGUUUGUCGCGUUGUCCGUGAAAACUCACAACUCAAUUGUGGGCGUGCGGGCGAUACGGGCAGACUGGAGUACUGCAGGGGAGACUGGAAUUCCUGGUGUAGCGGUGGAAUGCGCAGAUAUCAGGAGGAACACCGGUGGCGAAGGCGGGUCUCUGGGCAGUAACUGACGCUGAGGAGCGAAAGCGUGGGGGAGCGAACAGG